CAGAUUGAACACAGUAGAAGAGCUCUGGGGAGAAACCGUGUCAAGUCCUCCAUCUGUCUGGAGACCUUCAUGAAGUACAGUGAGCAGUACCUCCACCAUGACCCCAUCAUGUCAGGCUGUCUCCCUAGCAACCCCUGGAUCUCUGACGACACCUCACUCUGGACCAUCAACACUGACAUGGUGGACACUCCAACCAGGUUGAGAGUGGAGCGCUGGAGUUUCAGCUUCAUGGAACUUCUGAACGACUCGAUGGGAAGACGAGAGUUUAUGAUCUACCUGGAGAAAGAAUUCAGUGGUGAAACACCACACACACACACACACACACACACACACACACACACACACACACACAGAGUUUAUGAUCUACCUGGAGAAAGAAUUCAG